rnacentral:rRNA from 1 species
UACAGAGGUCUCGAGCGUUAGGCGGAAUCACUGGGCUUAAAGCGUGUGUAGGCGGGUCGUUAAGGGCCUUGUGAAAUCCCAUGGCUCAACCAUGGAACUGCUGGGCAUACUGGCGAUCUUGUGCAACCUAGGGGCGAGCGGAACAGAUGGUGGAGCGGUGAAAUGCGUAGAUAUCAUCUGGAACGCCAAUGGUGAAAACAGCUCGCUGGGGGUUUGCAGACGCUGAGACACGAAAGCCAGGGGAGCGAACGGG